UCUCCGUUGGUGAACCAGCGGAGGGAUCAUUACAGAGUUGCAAAACUCCCAAACCAUUGUGAACGUUACCUAUCCCGUUGCUUCGGCGGGCGGCCCGGGCCCCGCGCCCGGCCCCCCCCGGCCCCCCGUGGGCGCCCGCCGGAGGUAAACCAAACCCUUGAAUUGCAUGGCCUCUCUGAGUCUUCUUUACUGAAUAAGUCAAAACUUUCAACAACGGAUCUCUUGGUUCCG
rnacentral:misc_RNA from 1 species